UAUUGCACAGUAAUAGCAGCACAGUGCACCACACUGACAGCUGGAGGCGGAGCUUUUGUCGCCAUGGCUUCAGCUGUCAGUGGAAACACAACGGUUACCGUACCAAGUCGAGAGAGACCGAGUGGACCGGAGCCACGCUGCCUAACCAGAGCCAGUGGAAAAGGGACAUAAAGGGAAGUGAUUGCACUAGCUUUCAUUUUGGGGUAACAGAGUAAAGGGGUCUCCAUAACUCCAUAGCAUGUAUCAUUUUCCUUUCACUCUAAAAUCAUGCACCACUUUGUUGCUUUGUAACAUUGAAUCACUGUAAAAUACACUGAAGUUGUAAUACAACAACAUGUGAAAAGGUUUCAGGAAUAGGAACACUUUUUCAAGCCACCUUUUGAAGCAUGUUUGUUUGCAUGAUGCCCAAUUAUUUCCAGCGCAGAGUGUUUAGGUGUAAGAAAACUAACGACUGCUUCCUCAUUUACUCAAUUUGCCAUCGGCUAGACUAUCUCCAUCUACUAAUGUUCUUCUGUAAUCCAUGUUAGAUCUAUCCUCUCACGUUACAUCUUUAUGACUUCACCACACUGCUCUGGUCUAAGCAGAUCCGCCGGGGACCAUAAAGACAAAAGAAAAAAAAAUUUAAAGAAAGAUCACAGUAAUUCAUUCAUCCAUCCAUCCAUUUGACAGACGCCUGUAUCCCUAGAGUCAACUUUUUGGAAUAUCUAAAAGGCAAAUCCUUCAAAAAGCUGCCGUUGUCAGUUAAAGAUGAUUAGAGGGCUCAGAGGAUGUCAUUUGACACCCUUUACACCGGAUUUUCUCUCCUUGACAGAUGGUGCAGGAAGAAAUAUUGACUUAAGAUGGACAAGACUCUUUCAAGUUUCUGUCUUAAGUUCAUCUGCAGUUAAGAUGAGGCAAAAAAAAAAAUCAUUUCAUUAACAACAUCCAAGUUGAACCAAGAAAAUAAAGGGAAAGGGGCAAAUAGUCAUGAAGCGUUUAAGAAAAAUGCUCGGCACUGGAACCCGUCUCCCUGGAAACUAAUCUCAGGGCAUUUGAACAAUGCAGCUCUGGCCUUUAAUCUCUCCAGACACUAGGAACCAUUAUACUUGCCUCUGGCAAACCCAAACCACUGACUCAAUAAAGGCGAGGACAGAGAGACAGAAAGAGGAGGGUGGGCGUGUUGGGAUUCAGCUGCACACCAGUCUGAGCGUGCCAAGUCCAUCUAAAUCUGCCUCCCCUCAGGCAACAGCAAACAUCUGACGCCCUCCCUCCCUCCAAAAUUAUUAUGGCCUCAAAAUAAAUGGCCUGGUUUACUCUCAUAUUUAGAACGAUGGGGCUACGCAAGCAGAGGCUCAGGGUAAUGCCAUGUCAAGUGCUCUGCAGGAGGAAGCAUCAGCUGGAACAGUUCACGAUGGGAGGAUGGUCAUGUUUUAAGGAAACCAACAGCAGGUUUUUGACUCUCUCAUCGCCUUCCCUGAGUUUUAGCGUCUCAAACACUGAAUUCUGUAUCAAACACGGCCAUCAAAGACAAAGUCUCCAGCUCAUUCUGAUGGAUCUCAAGGGGUUCCCCAGCCAGAUAGGAAAUAUAGUCCCUCCAGCAAGUUCUGGCUCAGGUCUCCUCCCAAGGUUGUGUGCUUGGGCAGCAUCCUGAUUACAUGUCUGAACCAUCUCGACUCCUUUCAAUAAGGAGGAGCAGGAGCUCUACUCGGAGCUCCUUCUGGAUCACAGAGGAGCCCCAUUUCAGCCAACUGCAUUCAGGAUCUCGUUCUGUCAGCCAUGGUCCAUAUCUCAUGACCAUAAGAAGGGGUCAGAACAUAAACAGACCUGUAAAUCAAGAGCUUCACGUGACUGGCUCAGCUCCUUCUUCACCAUGAUAGAUCCACAUUACUGCAGCCAGAGCCUCAGUUUCUCAGUCUAUCUCCCGCUCCAUCCUACUGUGGUUAUAGUUUAUUAUUAGUAGUUUUAGACAUGUUUUUGACAUGUUUUUCUACA